CCUACGGGUGGCAGCAGUGGGGAAUAUUGGGCAAUGGGCGCAAGCCUGACCCAGCAAAGCCGCGUGAAGGAAGAAGGCUUUCGGGUUGUAAACUUCUUUUCUCAGGGACGAAGAAAGUGACGGUACCUGAGGAAUAAGCGACGGCUAACGAAGUGCAAGCAGCCGCGGGAAUACGUAGGUGGCAAGCGUUAUCCGGAUUUACUGGGUGUAAAGGGCGUGUAGGCGGGAAAGCAAGUCAGAUGUGAAAACCAUGGGCUCAACCUGUGGCCUGCAUUUGAAACUGUUUUUCUUGAGUACUGGAGAGGCAUGCGGAAUUCGUAGUGUAGCGGUGAAAUGCGUAGAUAUUAGGAGGAACACCAGUUGCGAAGGCGGUCUGCUGGACAGCAACUGACGCUGAGGCGCGAAAGCGUGGGGAGCAAACAGGAUUAGAUACCCCUGUAGUC
rnacentral:rRNA from 1 species